GAUGAACGCUGGCGGCGUGCCUAAUACAUGCAAGUCGAGCGAACGGACGAGAAGCUUGCUUCUCUGAUGUUAGCGGCGGACGGGUGAGUAACACGUGGAUAACCUACCUAUAAGACUGGGAUAACUUCGGGAAGCCGUAGCUAAUACCGGAUAAUAUUUUGAACCGCAUGGUUCAAAAGUGAAAGACGGUCUUGCUGUCACUUAUAGAUGGAUCCGCGCUGCAUUAGCUAGUUGGUAAGGUAACGGCUUACCAAGGCAACGAUGCAUAGCCGACCUGAGAGGGUGAUCGGCCACACUGGAACUGAGACACGGUCCAGACUCCUACGGGAGGCAGCAGUAGAGAAUCUUCCGCAAUGGGCGAAAGCCUGACGGAGCAACGCCGCGUGAGUGAUGAAGGUCUUCGGAUCGUAAAACUCUGUUAUUAGGGAAGAACAUAUGUGUAAGUAACUGUGCACAUCUUGACGGUACCUAAUCAGAAAGCCACGGCUAACUACGUG
rnacentral:rRNA from 1 species